UGAGGAAUAUUGGACAAUGGGUGAAAACCUGAUCCAGCCAUGCCGCGUGCAGGAAGACGGCCCUAUGGGUUGUAAACUGCUUUUGUAUGGGAGCAAUAAGCUCUACGUGUAGAGUGAUGAGAGUACCAUACGAAUAAGCAUCGGCUAACUCCGUGCCAGCAGCCGCGGUAAUACGUAGGUGGCGAGCGUUGUCCGGAAUUAUUGGGCGUAAAGCGCAUGUAGGCGGGAAAGUAAGUCUGUUGUGAAAAUGCGGAGCUCAACUCCGUAUGGCAAUGGAAACUGUUUUUCUUGAGUGAUGGAGAGGCAGGCGGAAUUCCCAGUGUAGCGGUGAAAUGCGUAGAUAUUAGGAGGAACACCAGUGGCGAAGGCGGCCUGCUGGGCUUUAACUGACGUUGAGGCUCGAAAGCGUGGGGAGCAAACA
rnacentral:rRNA from 1 species